AGAGUUUGAUCCUGGCUCAGGAUGAACGCUGGCGGCGUGCCUAAUACAUGCAAGUCGAGCGAACGGACGAGAAGCUUGCUUCUCUGAUGUUAGCGGCGGACGGGUGAGUAACACGUGGAUAACCUACCUAUAAGACUGGGAUAACUUCGGGAAACCGGAGCUAAUACCGGAUAAUAUUUUGAACCGCAUGGUUCAAAAGUGAAAGACGGUCUUGCUGUCACUUAUAGAUGGAUCCGCGCUGCAUUAGCUAGUUGGUAAGGUAACGGCUUACCAAGGCAACGAUGCAUAGCCGACCUGAGAGGGUGAUCGGCCACACUGGAACUGAGACACGGUCCAGACUCCUACGGGAGGCAGCAGUAGGGAAUCUUCCGCAAUGGGCGAAAGCCUGACGGAGCAACGCCGCGUGAGUGAUGAAGGUCUUCGGAUCGUAAAACUCUGUUAUUAGGGAAGAACAUAUGUGUAAGUAACUGUGCACAUCUUGACGGUACCUAAUCAGAAAGCCACGGCUAACUACGUGCCAGCAGCCGCGGUAAUACGUAGGUGGCAAGCGUUAUCCGGAAUUAUUGGGCGUAAAGCGCGCGUAGGCGGUUUUUUAAGUCUGAUGUGAAAGCCCACGGCUCAACCGUGGAGGGUCAUUGGAAACUGGAAAACUUGAGUGCAGAAGAGGAAAGUGGAAUUCCAUGUGUAGCGGUGAAAUGUGCAGAGAUAUGGAGGAACACCAGUGGCGAAGGCGACUUUCUGGUCUGUAACUGACGCUGAUGUGCGAAAGCGUGGGGAUCAAACAGGAUUAGAUACCCUGGUAGUCCACGCCGUAAACGAUGAGUGCUAAGUGUUAGGGGGUUUCCGCCCCUUAGUGCUGCAGCUAACGCAUUAAGCACUCCGCCUGGGGAGUACGACCGCAAGGUUGAAACUCAAAGGAAUUGACGGGGACCCGCACAAGCGGUGGAGCAUGUGGUUUAAUUCGAAGCAACGCGAAGAACCUUACCAAAUCUUGACAUCCUUUGACAACUCUAGAGAUAGAGCCUUCCCCUUCGGGGGACAAAGUGACAGGUGGUGCAUGGUUGUCGUCAGCUCGUGUCGUGAGAUGUUGGGUUAAGUCCCGCAACGAGCGCAACCCUUAAGCUUAGUUGCCAUCAUUAAGUUGGGCACUCUAAGUUGACUGCCGGUGACAAACCGGAGGAAGGUGGGGAUGACGUCAAAUCAUCAUGCCCCUUAUGAUUUGGGCUACACACGUGCUACAAUGGACAAUACAAAGGGCAGCGAAACCGCGAGGUCAAGCAAAUCCCAUAAAGUUGUUCUCAGUUCGGAUUGUAGUCUGCAACUCGACUACAUGAAGCUGGAAUCGCUAGUAAUCGUAGAUCAGCAUGCUACGGUGAAUACGUUCUCGGGUCUUGUACACACCGCCCGUCACACCACGAGAGUUUGUAACACCCGAAGCCGGUGGAGUAACCUUUUAGGAGCUAGCCGUCGAAGGUGGGACAAAUGAUUGGGGUGAAGUCGUAACAAGGUAGCCGUAUCGGAAGGUGCGGCUGGAUCACCU
rnacentral:rRNA from 1 species